rnacentral:tmRNA from 1 species
GGGGAUGUCAAGGCUUCGACAUGAAUAAUUGACUACCAAAGGCAGUGGGGUUUGCCCCUUAUAGCUCAAGGUCUUCUUAAGUGCAGACACAAACAAUGACAAUGUUAACAUGGACGAAGCAUUCAUGCUAAACAAAUUGUCAAACCAAGCUCAAUACAACUACGCAUAUUUAGCCUAGUCUAAGACUUGUUGGGUAUUAAUGGUUCUAUUUACAUUAAUACGUUACUUUAAAUAGAUAUAUUCUUUGACUCCAAUAAGAAGAAUGAACCUCAUUGGAUUAGUUAAACAUAGGUUUGUUUUAAUACCUAAUAAUGUUUAAUGAAUGCUCAAAUUAAAACUAAACUGUAGAAUUUGAUAGAAGGUUAUUUGUGGAAACGGGUUCGAUUCCCGUCAUCUCCACCA